rnacentral:rRNA from 1 species
AGUGAACGCUGGCGGUAGGCCUAACACAUGCAAGUCGAACGGCAGCACAGUAAGAGCUUGCUCUUACGGGUGGCGAGUGGCGGACGGGUGAGGAAUACAUCGGCAUCUACUUUUUCGUGGGGGAUAACGUAGGGAAACUUACGCUAAUACCGCAUACGACCUACGGGUGAAAGCAGGGGAUCUUCGGACCUUGCGCGAUUGAAUGAGCCGAUGUCGGAUUAGCUAGUUGGCGGGGUAAAGGCCCACCAAGGCGACGAUCCGUAGCUGGUCUGAGAGGAUGAUCAGCCACACUGGAACUGAGACACGGUCCAGACUCCUACGGGAGGCAGCAGUGGGGAAUAUUGGACAAUGGGCGCAAGCCUGAUGCAGCCAUACCGCGUGGGUGAAGAAGGCCUUCGGGUUGUAAAGCCCUUUUGUUGGGAAAGAAAAGCAGCAGGUGAAUACCCCGCUGUUCUGACGGUACCCAAAGAAUAAGCACCGGCUAACUUCGUG